GAAAACUUUUGGCAGCACUUAAUGAGCUUAUUAUUAGACUAUUUUAAAUGCUACCACAUUAAUGCCCCGAGGCUGAUUCUGUGUUUGCUCUCACUCUUUCCAUAUCAUGUUAAUAUCAUAGAGGUAGGAAGUUACAAGCAUACAGAAGCAGUACAUUAGAAGUAGCAGUUCACAAACUUUUUUUGGAGGAUACACUGGAGGAUAAAGACUGUGCUGAUUCACUGCCAAGUAUGGAGUACCAAGCAUGUAGUGAAGGAAACAUCUGCAGGCCCAUUGGAGCUCCGGGUUGGAUUACUAUUUCUGGAGCCAGCUGUGACUUUCACCAGAUUUUAAAAUGAUCCCUGGAUGGGUCUACAAUUAAUGGAGAGAAGAGCAAACCACAUCCAGUGCUGUCACUUAAUGAAGUGGACAAAUCAAAGGUAUCUUUUAAGGAGAAGGCUGAUCAUACCAUUAAGGACAAUCAACUUGCCUGGAACACUCAUUGCUCUUGUUUAACUCAAUCACCACAGCAGUCCUUUAUUAUCUAAAAUAUUAUCCAAAUACAUAGUGAAGGUAUAAUUCACUUCUGGCAUACUGAUUGGGUUUACCUGAGUCAGAACAAUGUGAUUGAGGCUUACCCUGAGUUUGUCCUGACCUACCUAGAGGAACUAAAUGAAAGAGGAGGUGACCCAGACAGAAAACCGCAUUCACCAUGGGGCCUGAUCUGCAGCUCAUCAGGAGAUAGACAGCAGCUCAGCAGAAGAGAUUCUGCAAAAAAAUGUCAGCAACCCCAAUCAGAAACAACUUUCAGGACCUUUGGACGCCCAUUUAAUGCCUGCAGAUCCCCUAGGGGAGACUACACAGCUGACAGUGGCACUGGUGAGGAAACUAGAAGAGAAACAUCCUAAGGCCUCAGCUCAAAGUGCAUCCUAACUAGUUCAAAACUAGUUCAUAUGAAGUUAAAGAUGGGCACAGAGCAUAUGAUAUCAAUCAUUGGUCAUGACUGACAUGUGAAAACUCUCCAGCUGCUAACUGGAAGACCGUUCUGUGGUAAGGAUAAUUAAAUAUGCUAUGAUAGGCUUAAUAAAUCAAGUUAAUGUGGGGAAAGUAAAUUACUG
rnacentral:lncRNA from 1 species